GGGGAUUUAGCUUAGUGGUAGAGCGCUUGCCUAGUAAGUGCAAGGCCCUGGGUUCGGUCCCCAGCUCCG
rnacentral:tRNA from 1 species